rnacentral:rRNA from 1 species
GACCGUGCGAAGGUAGCGUAAUCAUUUGUCUUUUAAAUAGAGACCUGUAUGAAUGGCAUAACGAGGGUUUAACUGUCUCCUUCCCCUAGUCAAUGAAAUUGAUCUGCCCGUGCAGAAGCGGACAUAAAUACAUAAGACGAGAAGACCCUAUGGAGCUUUAGACAAAAGAUCAAACAUGUAAAGAGACCAAAAACCCAAAAGGAACACAAAGACCGUAAAACCAGACGUAAACUGAUCCAAAUGUCUUCGGUUGGGGCGACCAUGGGGGAAAGAAAAACCCCCACGAGGAACAGGGAAUACCCCUAAACCUAGAGAGACACCUCCAAGUAACAGAAAAUCUGACCAAAAAUGACCCAGGAUAUUAAUCCUGAUCAACGAACCAAGUUACCCUAGGGAUAACAGCGCAAUCC